UACGUAGGGGGCAAGCGUUAUCCGGAUUUAUUGGGUUUAAAGGGUGCGUAGGCGGUUUUAUAAGUUAGAGGUGAAAAUUCGGGGCUCAACUCCGGACGUGCCUCUAAUACUGUAUGACUAGAGAAUAGAUGCGGUAGGCGGAAUGUAUGGUGUAGCGGUGAAAUGCAUAGAUAUCACGCAGAACUCCGAUUGCGAAGGCAGCAUACCGGCGCCCGACUGACGCUGAAGCACGAAAGCGUGGGUAUCGAACAGG
rnacentral:rRNA from 1 species